rnacentral:rRNA from 1 species
CCUACGGGUGGCAGCAGUGAGGAAUAUUGGUCAAUGGCCGGAAGGCUGAACCAGCCAUGCCGCGUGAAGGUCAGUGCCCUAUGGGCGUUAAACUUCUUUUGUGCGGGAGCAAUAAUGGUCACGUGUGGCCAGACGAUAGUACCGUACGAAUAAACAUCGGCUAACUCCGUGCCAGCAGCCGCGGUAAUACGGGGGAUGCAAGCGUUAUCCGGAUUUUUUUGGGUUAAAGGGGGCGUAGGGUGUGAGGUAAGUCAGCGGUGAAAUGCCCCCGCUCAACGGGGUGAAGUGCCAUUGAUACUGCCUGGCUGGAAUGCGGAUGACGUGGGAGGAAUGUGUGGUGUAGCGGUGAAAUGCAUAGAUAUCACACAGAACACCGAUUGCGAAGGCAUCUCACGAAUCCGCGAUUGACGCUGAUGCACGAAAGCGUGGGUAUCAAACAGGAUUAGAUACCCUAGUAGUC